rnacentral:rRNA from 1 species
GGCGAACGCUGGCGGCGUGCUUAACACAUGCAAGUCGAACGGAAAGGCCCUGCUUUUGUGGGGUGCUCGAGUGGCGAACGGGUGAGUAACACGUGAGUAACCUGCCCUUGACUUUGGGAUAACUUCAGGAAACUGGGGCUAAUACCGGAUAGGAGCUCCUGCUGCAUGGUGGGGGUUGGAAAGUUUCGGCGGUUGGGGAUGGACUCGCGGCUUAUCAGCUUGUUGGUGGGGUAGUGGCUUACCAAGGCUUUGACGGGUAGCCGGCCUGGGAGGGUGACCGGCCACAUUGGGACUGGGAUACGGCCCAGACUCCUACGGGAGGCAGCGGUGGGAAAUAUUGCACAAUGGGCGGAAGCCUGAUGCAGCAACGCCGCGUGCGGGAUGACGGCCUUCGGGUUGUAAACCGCUUUCGCCUGCGACGAAGCGUGAGUGACGGUAAUGGGUAAAGAAGCACCGGCUAACUACGUG